rnacentral:rRNA from 1 species
AGAAUCAACGCUGGCGGCGUGCCUAACACAUGCAAGUCGCACGAGAAAGGGGAGCAAUCCCUGAGUACAGUGGCGCACGGGUGAGUAACACGUGAAUAAUCUAUCUCCGAGGUGGGGAAUAACUGAGAGAAAUCUUAGCUAAUACCGCAUAACACUUACGAGUACAAAGCAGACAAUGCGCUUGGAGAGGAGUUCGCGGCCGAUUAGUUAGUUGGCGGGUAUGGCCCACCAAGACGAUGAUCGGUA